rnacentral:rRNA from 1 species
AGAGUGAACGCUGGCGGUAGGCCUAACACAUGCAAGUCGAACGGCAGCACAGUGGUAGCAAUACCAUGGGUGGCGAGUGGCGGACGGGUGAGGAAUACAUCGGAAUCUACCUUUUCGUGGGGGAUAACGUAGGGAAACUUACGCUAAUACCGCAUACGCCCUUCGGGGGAAAGCCGGGGAUCGCAAGACCUGGCGCGGAUAGAUGAGCCGAUGUCGGAUUAGCUAGUUGGUGAGGUAAUGGCUCACCAAGGCGACGAUCCGUAGCUGGUCUGAGAGGAUGAUCAGCCACACUGGAACUGAGACACGGUCCAGACUCCUACGGGAGCAGCAGUGGGAAUAUUGGACAAUGGGCGCAAGCCUGAUCCAGCCAUACCGCGUGGGUGAAGAAGGCCUUCGGUAGUAAAGUCCCUUUUAGU